CACGGGAGCAAUCCUGGUGGCGAGUGGCGAACGGGUGAGUAAUAUAUCGGAACGUGCCCAGUCGUGGGGGAUAACGCAGCGAAAGCUGUGCUAAUACCGCAUACGAUCUACGGAUGAAAGCGGGGGAUCGCAAGACCUCGCGCGAUUGGAGCGGCCGAUAUCAGAUUAGCUAGUUGGUGGGGUAAAGGCCCACCAAGGCGACGAUCUGUAGCCGGUCUGAGAGGACGACCAGCCACACUGGAACUGAGACACGGUCCAGACUCCUACGGGAGGCAGCAGUGGGGAAUUUUGGACAAUGGGCGCAAGCCUGAUCCAGCAAUGCCGCGUGCAGGAUGAAGGCCUUCGGGUUGUAAACUGCUUUUGUACGGAACGAAACGGUCUCUUCUAAUAAAGGAGGCUAAUGACGGUACCGUAAGAAUAAGCACCGGCUAACUACGUGCCAGCAGCCGCGGUAAUACGUAGGGUGCGAGCGUUAAUCGGAAUUACUGGGCGUAAAGCGUGCGCAGGCGGUUAUAUAAGACAGAUGUGAAAUCCCCGGGCUCAACCUGGGACCUGCAUUUGUGACUGUAUAGCUAGAGUACGGUAGAGGGGGAUGGAAUUCCGCGUGUAGCAGUGAAAUGCGUAGAUAUGCGGAGGAACACCGAUGGCGAAGGCAAUCCCCUGGACCUGUACUGACGCUCAUGCACGAAAGCGUGGGGAGCAAACAGGAUUAGAUACCCUGUAGUCCACGCCCUAAACGAUGUCAACUGGUUGUUGGGUCUUCACUGACUCAGUAACGAAGCUAACGCGUGAAGUUGACCGCCUGGGGAGUACGGGCCGCAAGGUUGAAACUCAAAGGAAUUGACGGGGACCCGCACAAGCGGUGGAUGAUGUGGUUUAAUUCGAUGCAACGCGAAAACCUUACCCACCUUUGACAUGUA
rnacentral:rRNA from 1 species